AGAGUUUGAUCAUGGCUCAGAUUGAACGCUGGCGGCAUGCCUUACACAUGCAAGUCGAACGGCAGCACGGGAGCAAUCCUGGUGGCGAGUGGCGAACGGGUGAGUAAUACAUCGGAACGUGCCCAGUAGUGGGGGAUAGCCCGGCGAAAGCCGGAUUAAUACCGCAUACGACCUGAGGGUGAAAGCAGGGGAUCGCAAGACCUUGCGCUAUUGGAGCGGCCGAUGUCAGAUUAGCUAGUUGGUGGGGUAAAGGCCUACCAAGGCAACGAUCUGUAGUUGGUCUGAGAGGACGACCAGCCACACUGGGACUGAGACACGGCCCAGACUCCUACGGGAGGCAGCAGUGGGGAAUUUUGGACAAUGGGGGCAACCCUGAUCCAGCAAUGCCGCGUGCAGGAAGAAGGCCUUCGGGUUGUAAACUGCUUUUGUCAGGGAAGAAAUCUUCUGGGCUAAUACCUCGGGAGGAUGACGGUACCUGAAGAAUAAGCACCGGCUAACUACGUGCCAGCAGCCGCGGUAAUACGUAGGGUGCGAGCGUUAAUCGGAAUUACUGGGCGUAAAGCGUGCGCAGGCGGCUUUGCAAGACAGAUGUGAAAUCCCCGGGCUUAACCUGGGAACUGCAUUUGUGACUGCAAGGCUAGAGUACGGUAGAGGGGGAUGGAAUUCCGCGUGUAGCAGUGAAAUGCGUAGAUAUGCGGAGGAACACCGAUGGCG
rnacentral:rRNA from 1 species